AGACCUCAAAUCAGGUGGGAUUACCCGCUGAACUUAAGCAUAUCAAUAAGCGGAGGAAAAGAAACUAACCAGGAUUCCCCCAGUAACGGCGAGUGAAGAGGGAAGAGCCCAAAUUUGUAAUCAGUCUUCCUUUGGGAGUCUGAGUUGUAAUUUUGAGAACUGUUUUCUGUGCUGGA
rnacentral:rRNA from 1 species